GUAGACGACGGCGAUGGGGUUCGCCCACAACCGCCUUGGAGUCGCGAGGCUGAUGACCCCUACCAGGCA
rfam:Candidatus Rokubacteria bacterium 13_1_40CM_4_69_5 13_1_40cm_4_scaffold_1285, whole genome shotgun sequence.